CGGUCCAGACUCCUACGGGAGGCAGCAGUGGGGAAUAUUGCACAAUGGGCGCAAGCCUGAUGCAGCCAUGCCGCGUGUGUGAAGAAGGCCUUCGGGUUGUAAAGCACUUUCAGCGGGGAGGAAGGCGUUAAGGUUAAUAACCUUGGCGAUUGACGUUACCCGCAGAAGAAGCACCGGCUAACUCCGUGCCAGCAGCCGCGGUAAUACGGAGGGUGCAAGCGUUAAUCGGAAUUACUGGGCGUAAAGCGCACGCAGGC
rnacentral:rRNA from 1 species